rnacentral:rRNA from 1 species
UGGGGAAUAUUGCACAAUGGGCGCAAGCCUGAUGCAGCCAUGCCGCGUGUGUGAAGAAGGCCUUCGGGUUGUAAAGCACUUUCAGCGGGGAGGAAGGCGGUGAGGUUAAUAACCUCAUCGAUUGACGUUACCCGCAGAAGAAGCACCGGCUAACUCCGUGCCAGCAGCCGCGGUAAUACGGAGGGUGCAAGCGUUAAUCGGAAUUACUGGGCGUAAAGCGCACGCAGGCGGUCUGUCAAGUCGGAUGUGAAAUCCCCGGGCUCAACCUGGGAACUGCAUUCGGAACUGGCAGGCUAGAGUCUUGUAGAGGGGGGUAGAAUUCCAGGUGUAGCGGUGAAAUGCGUAGAGAUCUGGAGGAAUACCGGUGGCGAAGGCGGCCCCCUGGACAAAGACUGACGCUCAGGUGCGAAAGCGUGAGGAGCAAACAGG